CAGUAGCCGCGGUAACACGUAGGUGGCAAGCGUUGUCCGGAAUUAUUGGGCGUAAAGGGCUCGCAGGCGGUUUCUUAAGUCUGAUGUGAAAGCCCCCGGCUCAACCGGGGAGGGUCAUUGGAAACUGGGAAACUUGAGUGCAGAAGAGGAGAGUGGAAUUCCACGUGUAGCGGUGAAAUGCGUGGAGAUGUGGAGGAACACCAGUGGCGAAGGCGACUCUCUGGUCUGUAACUGACGCUGAGGAGCGAAAGCGUGGGGAGCGAACAGGAUUAGAUACCCCCGUAGUCCCUGUCUCUUAUAC
rnacentral:rRNA from 1 species